rnacentral:rRNA from 1 species
UGAGUAACCUGCCCUUAACUCUGGGAUAAGCCUGGGAAACUGGGUCUAAUACCGGAUAUGACUCCUCAUCGCAUGGUGGGGGGUGGAAAGCUUGAUUGUGGUUUUGGAUGGACUCGCGGCCUAUCAGCUUGUUGGUGAGGUAAUGGCUCACCAAGGCGACGACGGGUAGCCGGCCUGAGAGGGUGACCGGCCACACUGGGACUGAGACACGGCCCAGACUCCUACGGGAGCAG